UCAAUAAGCGGAGGAAAAGAAACCAACAGGGAUUGCCCCAGUAACGGCGAGUGAAGCGGCAACAGCUCAAAUUUGAAAUCUGGCCUCGGCCCGAGUUGUAAUUUGUAGAGGAAGCUUCUGGUGCGGUCUGUUCCGAGUCCCCUGGAACGGGGCGCCAUAGAGGGUGAGAGCCCCGUACGGACGGAUACCAAUCCUGUGUGAAGCUCCUUCGACGAGUCGAGUAGUUUGGGAAUGCUGCUCAAAAUGGGAGGUAAAUUCCUUCUAAAGCUAAAUACCGGCCAGAGACCGAUAGCGCACAAGUAGAGUGAUCGAAAGAUGAAAAGCACUUUGAAAAGAGGGUUAAACAGCACGUGAAAUUGUUGAAAGGGAAGCGCUUGUGACCAGACUUGCGCCAGGCUGAUCAUCCGGUGUUCUCACCGGUGCACUCUGCCUGGCUCAGGCCAGCAUCGGUUUCCGCGGGGGGAUAAAGGUCCCGGGAAUGUAGCUCCUCCGGGAGUGUUAUAGCCCGGGGCGCAAUGCCCUCGUGGGGACCGAGGUUCGCGCAUCUGCAAGGAUGCUGGCGUAAUGGUCAUCAGCGACCCGUCUUGAAACACGGACCAAGGAGUCAAGGUUUUGCGCGAGUGUUUGGGUGUUAAACCCGCACGCGUAAUGAAAGUGAACGUAGGUGAGAGCUUCGGCGCAUCAUCGACCGAUCCUGAUGUAUUCGGAUGGAUUUGAGUAGGAGCGUUAAGCCUUGGACCCGAAAGAUGGUGAACUAUGCUUGGAUAGGGUGAAGCCAGAGGAAACUCUGGUGGAGGCUCGCAGCGGUUCUGACGUGCAAAUCGAUCGUCAAAUCUGAGCAUGGGGGCGAAAGACUAAUCGAACCAUCUCU
rnacentral:rRNA from 1 species